rnacentral:tRNA from 1 species
CCCCUGGUAGCUCAGAUGAUAGAGAGUCUGCUUGCAAUGCAGGAGACCCAGGUUUAACCCCUGGGUUGGGAA